rnacentral:rRNA from 1 species
GACGAAGGGGGCUAGCGUUGUUCGGAAUUACUGGGCGUAAAGCGCGUGUAGGCGGUUGUCCAAGUUGGAUGUGAAAGCCUUGAGCUUAACUCAAGAAAUGCAUUCAGGACUGGAUGACUAGAGGACCGGAGAGGAUAGUGGAAUUCCCAGUGUAGUGGUGAAAUACGUAGAGAUUGGGAAGAACACCAGUGGCGAAGGCGGCUCUCUGGGACGGUACUGACGCUGAGACGCGAAAGCGUGGGGAGCGAACAGG